UACCAGCACCCCGAGUGGUCGGGACGAUUAUUGGGCCUAAAGCAUCCGUAGCCGGCCUUACAAGUCCUCCGUUAAAUCCAGCUGCUUAACAGAUGGGCUGCGGAGGAUACUAUAAGACUAGGAGGCAGGAGAGGCAAGCGGUACUCAGUGGGUAGGGGUAAAAUCCGUUGAUCCAUUGAAGACCACCAGUGGCGAAGGCGGCUUGCCAGAAUGCGCUUGACGGUGAGGGAUGAAAGCGGGGGGAGCAAACCGG
rnacentral:rRNA from 1 species